GUAGACGGGCCUGCUGGGAUACUCCAGGAUGACUGGGAAAGGCACGGGGCGGGGUCUCGCCGUCCGCAGAACGCCGGAAACGGAGUCCUUCCAGACGACUUCCGGUUCCGGUGUAGGCGGUGGUUGAGUUGCCAUGGCAGCGCGGUUGGCAGGAGCCUGGUUGUUGCAUCAGGGCGGUGGCCGGCCUGGAGCAGGCCUGGGCCUGGCUUUCCCAGCUUAGGCACUCGACUUAAUUCACUGCUAUACGAGCGUGGCAGGUGCACGAAUGGGUGGCAUGAGUGAUUCCGGAAGAGCAGGACUCAGUGAAACCACCAGAUCUGUAGUCUUGGAGCUGCGCUGGGUUGGUGGUACCCUAGAGCACACCAGACUUGCAGAAAAAGCAUACUGCAGAGGAAGCUGAGGCAUGACUGCUCAAGAGCCAGCAGUGCCAUGUGCAAUUUUCCUCUGAUAGUCACUGGGUACUGUUGCCACGGUGAUGAUGACUGUGCCGUGUCCUUAUCUAUCCGCCAACAGUAAGAGAAACCUUGCAGUCGAGAUAUUGUUUAACAGAUGGAGUGGUUUCUGUUGGACACUAAGUACUGCUACAAAUGACUUUUUAAAAAACCCUAUGUAUUUUAGAAAUGGUUUUAGAGGUGACCUGUUUAUGUUUUGGAGGUGCUCAGAAAAUUAAAAUCAGAAAACUAGUGCAUGUGCUGUCAGCAAAUGAGUGUUCCAAAUAAUCAGUCAUUCGGCCCGAAGCUUGAGGCUAGGAAACUGAAGAUAAACUCCAGAUGUUGCUCAGAAGUGCUCCUCGUGCGUAUUUAUUUCAUCCCCGUCAGCGUUAUUGAUGUUUGGUAGAUUUCUAAUGUGGGACCCAAAAUGGAUCAGCUUCCUAAAGAAUCCUUUUUUUCCCCAGGUUCCUUGAUUCCAGAUAAAUCAGAGGAACAAGCUUCAUGAACAAAAAUAUAUUGGGAAUGCUGUGGCACUGCAGCGUGACUGUUGUUUCGGAAGUCUAACAUCUGGCACGCUUAACAGCUGAGAAUAUAUUAUUUCCGAAAGCACCUAGCUUUUACUCAUGCUUAUAGUAUAGUAAGUUCUUUUUUUUUUUGUUUGAGGAAGAUUAGCCCUGAUCUAACAUCUGCUGCCAAUCCUGCUCUUUUUGCUGAGGAAGCCUGGCCCUGAGCUAACAUAUGUGCCCAUCUUCCUCUACUUUAUAUGCGGAUGCCGCCACAGCGUGGCUUGCCAAGCAGUGCCAUCUCCGCACCUGGGAUCCGAACUGACGAACCCCGGGCCACUGAAGCGGAAUGUGCGCACUUAACCGCUGUGCUGUGCCACUGGGCCGGCCCCCUAAGGGAGAGGAAUUCGCAGACUUGUGUUGUGAGGACCCGGAGCGGUCCUGAGGAGUUGCAGAGCUCCUCCCUAGUGUGUAGUCCUGGCUUCGGAGGCAUAGUUGUCAACUGUUAUUGUUAAUAAGUUGAGAGUACAGCUGUCAUCAGAGAUUAAGGGUAACCCUCGAGCAGGAAGAGUACAAAGCGUGUGUUUUUCAAAAUUCCGGGAGAGUGCUGCCUACCACGGAGCGUGGCGAGAACAUGCAUGAAGUGUCAGGAUGUGGGAAAGCAUGUCGGCUCUCUUCCAGGGACCUCAGUGAUGGUUCGAGCAAAGGCAGGAAGACCAAUCAUGUAUCUGAACCGAAGAAACUGAAACAGUACAUCAAAAUUUAGGUGUUUAAUAAAAAUAUAAAACGUGAUCUCUGUUGAACAUAUUCCUUUGUCUUUGAUUUAGAACUAUUCUUGCAGUAUUGCGUCAGACAUCAGUGAUUUGAAGCAGCAAAGAAAAUAGUAUUUGAAAUAUUUCUUCCAAACCACAUGAUUCGGGCAUUUUAUAUGAUUUGGCCUUUUAGUUUUGAGGUUUCUCUUUAGAAAUUCUGUAAUGAAAACAUGACAAAAAUAUACUUCUUAAAUAAACAAUUGUCAAAAACUAUACUUAUGCUCAAAUGUAUUUGGGUGUUUAGAACACGUACGUAGAUAAUCUAUGUCAGUGUGUGAUCUCUCCCUCGUGGACAUUACUGAGGGGGUGCGGGUGGGAAGUACACAGAAACUUAUGAGAAGCCUGGGAUUUUGGUCACAAAAUGUAAUUAGACCCCAAACUAAAUAAUCAGGCCAUGUAAACAUGCUGACUCGGGCAUCCUAAAAAUGUUUUUCUUUCCUGUGCUUAUUGACAGAUAAAGCUUUAUUGAUUUGAUAAAAUUUCUCUUCCACCCACUCCUCCAAAAGCAAAUUCACGCUUGAAUCCAUAGUUACGAACCUCACACAUUGGAGAUCGUUUCUUCCUAUGUCUCAGCCCUAAACGAAGAGGCGGGGUCGCUGAAGCUAAGAGGGCGCUUUCCUUCCUGACUUCAGUCUCCAAGUCUGUGCUGCGUUCUGACAAAAGGUGUGUUUCUGUGCGUAGGACAUGCCCUACAGAAAUGUCUCGGUCCAAGCUGGCCAGAGCUUCUCUAAGUGUCAUUUUCAGGGAAAAGUGGCUACUUGGGUUGCACAAGGGGUUGAGCCACCAAACCUCCCUGAACUAAAAUACCAUUUGGGACCCAGAGUUCCGUAGACUCCAGCUGGAACCUGAACCUUCUCUCUGCUGUGACCGAGCUCUAUCCGGUAAUUUUAAAGCACCACUGCACCCUGGAAUUAACUUGAUCCCCCAGCGACCCUAAAAAUAAUGUCAUGUGAGAAACCAAGGCAAUGCCCAGCCCUCUAAGAGAAUGUUCGAUAGUCUCUAAUGCAAAGAGAGAAAUGCCCUCUGGAUGUUUACUGCGUCUAUCUGACGAGACAGCUGGCUUUAUAAAUACUUCUCUAGCCAUGGGAGCGGCCUCAGUUUUGCUAUCUCUGUUUCCCACAUCGUGUAGAGACGGGAAGCAAGGCCCCCUUAGGCCCUGCUUGCGCUGUAUCACAUAGGUCCUGCUCUCCUCGUCUGGGUAAAAUGAAGAGACAUGCUGUGCUGUGCACUGGGUUCAUUCAGUCUAAAACAGACCCUGGGAGAUGCCGAUGAAAUCAGAUUCUCUGAAGAAGCAUUUGUGAAAGUCCUGGAUGCCACAGCAGAACCUGGAUUCUGGUCUCCACACAUGUUAGAUUUGGAAUAUAGAGGUGUGAGGCCUGGUUCCAGUCCUAAGCAUCACUAAAUACUUAGGAGUUCUUUCUGAUUCUCCUUAGAAUUUUCCACCCCUGCUCUCUUCCUCUGCCUGGAUUUGUGAAAAAUGGAUUUGUGAUGUCUGCAAAAGGUUAUGCUGAUUUCACGAUGUCUUUACGUAAGGGCUGCAGGGUUUUAAGGAAUCUAUUCCGCUGCUCCUGAACAUUUACCCCCAAAUAAUGCCAUCUUCCAUGUGUGGAAUACUAUCUUGUUCUUCAAACAGGUUUUGUGUACAUGAGUUACAUCAACCCUAGGAUGAUGGUUCUCAGCUAUUUUGGUCCCCAAAUUAUGUUCUCUGUCCAGUGUUUGUUUAUAACAUCUUUUGGCAGACUUGAGCAGUUGGGGUUCCUCUGUAAGUUUUGUUCCCCUCAAGCGCUUUUUAGCAUUUUACUGCUGAAUCCUAGCAUCCCCAGGAAGUCCCGCAUAAAAUUAAAUAUUCCUGAAUUACCUUCGCUGGCCCUGCAUGUGUGUUUAUUGGAUGCAGAUGUGAUCUUUGUGCUUUGUGAAACUAAAAUGACACCAUUUCAAGCCAAAACUCCAAUGGAAGAAAUAGAAACCAUGGCUUUUUCACUUCCGAGAGUUCAGUUCUCUUAUCUCCGUGCUUCUUUUUCACAUUGAGGACUGAACUCCUUGGCUCUGGCCCUUUAAAACCAGACAUCUGCUGGACUUCGCUCUAUUGAGAACAUUAUUUUAUUCUGAAAGAAAGAACCCAAAUCCUGUCCCUCUAAGGUAACAUUAAGAAUUAAGUGGUAAUCAUAAAACACGUGAAGGCUUGAUUAAAGGUAGUAAAAGAACUGUUGACUUUCCUCAACUGUCUGUUUAAUGAAAGACUUUAAUGUUUUGCAUCCUGUGUUUCUCUUUUUAUCAGCACAUACUUUCUAUAACGCAAACUGUUAUUACACUCCAGCAACUUCUGAGAAGGUGCCCAGACCACAGAAGAUGAAAAGCUGGGAGCCAGUGCUGUUGUGUGUCAGACCUGUUAUGAAGAUUUAUCUGUUACCAGAAGUUUCUGUCCCCCUCUGAUAAUCACUGAGUUCGCGGCCAGAUGAACAUUUAGACCGUUUUAUUGUUUUCUUGUCAAUGAUUGCUAAGAUGUAUUGCCAAGGCCGUAAAUACUCUUUAUGAUGAGUCAGGAUUUCACUUCGUACUUCAAACUUUGAGCCUUAAUGACUUCAUGCCUUCAAAAUUAAAUCUUGCUGUCAUGGGAACCCGUCACUCCAGGCUUCUUCAACAAUUCAUCUAGCCAAGGAAGAAAAAUUCACCCCAGUUUCACAGAGGUGGUGAGGGGGCAGGUUGGAAAUGGGAUAAAACAUUAACUGUUCGUCUUGUUUUGCGGGAAAAGAUCGGAGGAUUUUAAAUAUAUUUUUUCUGCAUUCAUGUCCAGAAAAAAAUCCCAUUUGUUAAUUCUAAACUUUACGCUUUCUGUAAGUGUAACCUACUAAUUAACUGAUAUCAAAUUUAUGUGAGCCAGAGUUUCAGUUAAAGACUAUAUUAUAAAUCAAUUAUAUUCUGGGGGAAAAAAAAAGGAAGAGGGCAGCUUUUUUCAUAAAGCCCACUUGCAAACUUGAGUGUCUGUGAGAAUUUUGUAUGAAACGCCUUGAGGAGAAGGUGACCCUUGCAGGCCCUCUCCCCUCUCCAGACAGACAGUGAUCUGGCAUCUUCUUUUCCUGUCCUAGCCCGUCCUGGGGCAGUCUGAGUGCACGUCAGUCCCCUUGGUGUGAUAGUCCCAUCGGUUCAUCUUCCUUCUUGCCAGGCAGCAGCACCUCCGAGAGGUCACACAUACUGCUGGCCGCCUGGGGACAGGGCCGG
rnacentral:lncRNA from 1 species